UUAAGUUAUUAAGGGCGCACGGUGGAUGCCUUGGCACUAGAAGCCGAUGAAGGACGUUACUAACGACGAUAUGCUUUGGGGAGCUGUAAGUAAGCUUUGAUCCAGAGAUUUCCGAAUGGGGAAACCCAGCAUGAGUUAUGUCAUGUUAUCGAUAUGUGAAUACAUAGCAUAUCAGAAGGCACACCCGGAGAACUGAAACAUCUUAGUACCCGGAGGAAGAGAAAGAAAAUUCGAUUCCCUUAGUAGCGGCGAGCGAAACGGGAAGAGCCCAAACCAACAAGCUUGCUUGUUGGGGUUGUAGGACACUCUAUACGGAGUUACAAAGGACGACAUUAGACGAAUCAUCUGGAAAGAUGAAUCAAAGAAGGUAAUAAUCCUGUAGUCGAAAAUGUUGUCUCUCUUGAGUGGAUCCUGAGUACGACGGAGCACGUGAAAUUCCGUCGGAAUCUGGGAGGACCAUCUCCUAAGGCUAAAUACUCUCUAGUGACCGAUAGUGAACCAGUACCGUGAGGGAAAGGUGAAAAGCACCCCGGAAGGGGAGUGAAAUAGAACCUGAAACCGUGUGCUUACAAGUAGUCAGAGCCCGUUAAUGGGUGAUGGCGUGCCUUUUGUAGAAUGAACCGGCGAGUUACGAUUUGAUGCAAGGUUAAGCAGUAAAUGUGGAGCCGUAGCGAAAGCNNNNNNNNAGUCUGAAUAGGGCGUUUAGUAUUUGGUCGUAGACCCGAAACCAGGUGAUCUACCCUUGGUCAGGUUGAAGUUCAGGUAACACUGAAUGGAGGACCGAACCGACUUACGUUGAAAAGUGAGCGGAUGAACUGAGGGUAGCGGAGAAAUUCCAAUCGAACCUGGAGAUAGCUGGUUCUCUCCGAAAUAGCUUUAGGGCUAGCCUCAAGUGAUGAUUAUUGGAGGUAGAGCACUGUUUGGACGAGGGGCCCCUCUCGGGUUACCGAAUUCAGACAAACUCCGAAUGCCAAUUAAUUUAACUUGGGAGUCAGAACAUGGGUGAUAAGGUCCGUGUUCGAAAGGGAAACAGCCCAGACCACCAGCUAAGGUCCCAAAAUAUAUGUUAAGUGGAAAAGGAUGUGGCGUUGCCCAGACAACUAGGAUGUUGGCUUAGAAGCAGCCAUCAUUUAAAGAGUGCGUAAUAGCUCACUAGUCGAGUGACACUGCGCCGAAAAUGUACCGGGGCUAAACAUAUUACCGAAGCUGUGGAUUGUCCUUUGGACAAUGGUAGGAGAGCGUUCUAAGGGCGUUGAAGCAUGAUCGUAAGGACAUGUGGAGCGCUUAGAAGUGAGAAUGCCGGUGUGAGUAGCGAAAGACGGGUGAGAAUCCCGUCCACCGAUUGACUAAGGUUUCCAGAGGAAGGCUCGUCCGCUCUGGGUUAGUCGGGUCCUAAGCUGAGGCCGACAGGCGUAGGCGAUGGAUAACAGGUUGAUAUUCCUGUACCACCUAUAAUCGUUUUAAUCGAUGGGGGGACGCAGUAGGAUAGGCGAAGCGUGCGAUUGGAUUGCACGUCUAAGCAGUAAGGCUGAGUAUUAGGCAAAUCCGGUACUCGUUAAGGCUGAGCUGUGAUGGGGAGAAGACAUUGAGUCUUCGAGUCGUUGAUUUCACACUGCCGAGAAAAGCCUCUAGAUAGAAAAUAGGUGCCCGUACCGCAAACCGACACAGGUAGUCAAGAUGAGAAUUCUAAGGUGAGCGAGCGAACUCUCGUUAAGGAACUCGGCAAAAUGACCCCGUAACUUCGGGAGAAGGGGUGCUCUUUAGGGUUAACGCCCAGAAGAGCCGCAGUGAAUAGGCCCAAGCGACUGUUUAUCAAAAACACAGGUCUCUGCUAAACCGUAAGGUGAUGUAUAGGGGCUGACGCCUGCCCGGUGCUGGAAGGUUAAGAGGAGUGGUUAGCUUCUGCGAAGCUACGAAUCGAAGCCCCAGUAAACGGCGGCCGUAACUAUAACGGUCCUAAGGUAGCGAAAUUCCUUGUCGGGUAAGUUCCGACCCGCACGAAAGGCGUAACGAUUUGGGCACUGUCUCAACGAGAGACUCGGUGAAAUCAUAGUACCUGUGAAGAUGCAGGUUACCCGCGACAGGACGGAAAGACCCCGUGGAGCUUUACUGUAGCCUGAUAUUGAAAUUCGGCACAGCUUGUACAGGAUAGGUAGGAGCCUUUGAAACGUGAGCGCUAGCUUACGUGGAGGCGCUGGUGGGAUACUACCCUAGCUGUGUUGGCUUUCUAACCCGCACCACUUAUCGUGGUGGGAGACAGUGUCAGGCGGGCAGUUUGACUGGGGCGGUCGCCUCCUAAAAGGUAACGGAGGCGCUCAAAGGUUCCCUCAGAAUGGUUGGAAAUCAUUCAUAGAGUGUAAAGGCAUAAGGGAGCUUGACUGCGAGACCUACAAGUCGAGCAGGGUCGAAAGACGGACUUAGUGAUCCGGUGGUUCCGCAUGGAAGGGCCAUCGCUCAACGGAUAAAAGCUACCCCGGGGAUAACAGGCUUAUCUCCCCCAAGAGUUCACAUCGACGGGGAGGUUUGGCACCUCGAUGUCGGCUCAUCGCAUCCUGGGGCUGUAGUCGGUCCCAAGGGUUGGGCUGUUCGCCCAUUAAAGCGGUACGCGAGCUGGGUUCAGAACGUCGUGAGACAGUUCGGUCCCUAUCCGUCGUGGGCGUAGGAAAUUUGAGAGGAGCUGUCCUUAGUACGAGAGGACCGGGAUGGACAUACCUCUGGUGUACCAGUUGUCGUGCCAACGGCAUAGCUGGGUAGCUAUGU
rnacentral:rRNA from 1 species